UCCAGCAGGAGAUUGCUUAGGCGAGGUGGUAAGCCUUUGGACCCAUUGCCUUAGUCUUCUCAUGUCUUCUGACUCACCAGGGCCAGCCAUGCCUCAAUAGUUGGCGCGCUGGUCAGAUCAAAGGGCUGUGUGUUCAAAUCCUACCCUUACCGCUAUCAUCGUCCAUGGCUGUGGUGGCCCUGAGCAAGGCGCUUAACCCCACAUUGCGCCAUGGCCUGUAACCAACACCCUUGUACCUAAAUAACUAAGUCGCUUUGAUGUCCUGAUUAAGACUGGCUAAGUAAUGUAACUGCUAAAGAUGGAGCAUACAUUCAUUUACUUAUAGAUCAGAUCAGUGGUGAUUGUAUUUAGAAAUUAAACUAAUGAUGUUUUGGUGGGAUUUUCUGAUGUCACAGCAUGCGCCUAGCCGCAGCAGGCAGCACGAGACGUCAUUGGGCAGCAGUGAGCAGCAGCGCAGCAAGUCUUGCCUGGUCGCAGCAAGUCUUGCCUGGUCGCAGCAAGUCGUGCCUGGUCGCAGCAAGUCGCGCCUGGUCGCAGCAAGUCGCGCCUGGUCGCAGCAAGUCGCGCCUGGUCGCAGCAAGUCGCGCCUGGUCGCAGCAAGUCGCGCCUGGUCGCAGCAAGUCGCGCCUGGUCGCAGCAAGUCGCGCCUGGUCGCAGCAAGUCGCGCCUGGUCGCAGCAUUUGGCAUCCUGAGAAGGUAACGGAUGACAGACGCAGGACUGACGUGAAGACCUGGGGAUGUGCGUGACGAGAUGGACCCGGCUGAGUCCAGCUGCACACACGGAUACAAUUGAUGAGCUCUUGAGGAAGGCCUGGAAUAACCUUGGAGGUGGCAGAGAUGACUGGAGAGCUCAGA